AAAAAAAAUCGGAAUCAAUAAAAUGAUAUAUAGAAAAUUGACGUUUUGCCUUACUGAUGGCUAAUCCAAUAUAUGAGAGUGAAGAUCACAUUGGAUACACACAUGUCGCACAGACCGAAAUGGAAGAUACAAAAGCACAUAAGAGGGAUCAAGACUGCAAUAGAGAUUGUGUGGUAGCUGACAAGUAUGGAAAGAUGAAGCUGAGAGCAACAUGCUUCUAUGGAUACACCAGUUUCUUCUUAACAAAUUCCUUUUUUUCCUGUCUCCUUAUUUUCUGCUACACUUCACAACUAAGAAAAAAAAACCUGAAAGAAUUUUGCAAUAUGUUAGUACAAUUGGCAUCUAAAAUUUGCAAUCUAUAUUUUGAAUUAUCUUGUUGAAAACUUUAUGUUAAUUUUUUUUUAACUUUGCUUUUUAUCAGAGCCGAGCCCUUAUGUAAAAUCAAGGAAGUAUCUUUAAGCCUUUCAGUUCUCGUUCUUAGAAUCCCUUAUGUUGCAAAUAUUUUUAUGUACCUACCCAAUCUUCUAUUAAAUAAAUAAUUUAAUAAAAUUCAUAAUUUCAGUCUCUGACUAAAAAAGUUAGGGGGUUUCGGAAAAAUUGUAUCAUUUUUGCAAGACAUCCUUUUUGCAUGAUCAAAUGAUAAUCAUGAAUAGCUAUGGAGUAUAAAAAUUCAGAUUCAAGCUAAAAUACAUUCCCAAGAAAAUUCGUGAAAAAAACAACAAUUAAUUUGUUAUAAAGCUGCGCCCUAGUUCUUAAUAUAUGUGGAUUUAAAAAAAAGGAACAUGUCUAAAGUCACGUUUUAUGUAUUAAUAACUCAUAAUUAAGAAUGCGAUUCAUUUGUAGCAACAGUGAAAGAUUUAUAUAAAAGAUUUAUAAAUUAUCUAUAGACCUAACCUAUAUAUGUAUAACGCUGAAAAAUAAGCCAUAAAAAUUCCCUCUCUUGUACAAGGUGGUGAGCAAGCAAAGCAAUUUUAAAUAACAAGAAAAAAUGACAAAAAGAGAUGGAAAAUUUAUACUUUGCAAAAAAAAUACACCUGGAUUUUCAAUGAGACGUUGAGAUUGACUGCGAAAAACAUCCGCAAGAGAAUGCGAGAGGGAAAAGUCAAAAGCAUUUUUACCAUCUCAUAAUUGAUGGCUUGUAUGUGAUCUAUUGGUAUACUUCUCCCCACACAAUAUAUUUAUUAUGUAGGUAAUAUAUGUAUAUACGAAUUUCUAUAUAUAUAUUUUUUUAUAUGUAUCGUCUGUUUUCCCUGGGUGUGUACAAUAUAUGUACAAAACCUCUACAUUAUAUACAAUAUUUUGAAUUAAAAAAAAUUGGUUUAAA